CCCUUAGAUGUUCUGGGCCGCACGCGCGCUACACUGACGGAGUCAACGAGUGGUCCUGCAUCGAAAGGUGUGGGUAAUCUUUGGAAACUUCGUCGUGCUGGGGAUAGAUCUUUGCAAUUAUCGAUCUUGAACGAGGAAUUCCUAGUAAGCGUGAUUCAUCAGAUCGCGUUGAUUACGUCCCUGCCCUUUGUACACACCGCCCGUCGCUACUACCGAUUGAAUGGUUUAGUGAGGCCUCGGGACUGGCGCAGGUCGGCGGUUUCGCCCCUUGCGCCGGGAACUUGGUCAAACUUGNUNAUUUAANGGAAGUAAAANUCGUANCA
rnacentral:rRNA from 1 species